UUUUUUUUCAGCUAUGGCAACACACCACGGUUUUUCCUAUUGGCUAUAGUUCUUUGAAAGGAGGGCAUUAGGGGAAUCGCUCCUGAUGUCUAGUUUGAAAAGCUCGCUCUAGUCCUGUGAGUCUCACAGCACAGCUCUAUGGGAAAAUGCAAAUGGACGGUGGUGCUGAUUGAAAAUGGAUACAAAGAACAUUUGAUCUGAUAAAAGCAAUGGUGUAGCUAGAGAGGAAGCAGAUCCCGGGCCGGGGAGCAGAAAAACGGGAGAUGCAAGCAGCAAGGCGAGCGGGUAGUGAGAGGCGGGGCCAGGAAGGGGUGGACGUCCAUGCCGGGCCCUCAAAGGAUUCUUCUUCAGGGGGCCUAUUGCCAUAUUUGUCUGAAGCAGCAUCAGUUUGAACAGACAUCAACAUUACAGUAGGAAGUGUCAGGCUCACCUUGGGUGAUAAAAACAGUUUGGGAAACACUCCAGUCGAAAUGCUUCUUGGUACCUAUUGCUUCAACUAGCUGAAAUCACUCAAUUAAAGAUAAAAUAGGCUUUUAUAACGAGAA